rnacentral:lncRNA from 1 species
GGGAUAUCGAGAAUGUGGUAUCUUUUCAGUCUUCUUACUGUUAGGCUAUUGUCUAAUAGACUUAAGGCUAAAUUAUUUUCGUGGUUGUGGAGUCUGUCGAUGUAUUUCUUACUAGUUUUCUUUAUUUCUUCUUUAAUGGUUGGAAUAUUCAGAUCUUUGUGGAUGUUUGCAUUAGAUACGUAAAACGGAGCAUUGACAAUUUGUCGCAAAGUUUUUGAUUGGUAACGCUGAAGUAUCUCAAUAUUUGAGUUGUUAGCAGUUCCCCAAAGCUGUAUAGCGUAGGUCCAAACAGGCUUCAGGAUGGAUUUGUAGAGGCGAAUUUUGUUUUCCAAAGUGGUUUCUGAUUUUCGACUUAUCAGCCAGGACAUUUUUAGUGUUUUAAGUCUAAGUUGUUGACAUUUUGCUUUAAUGUGGUUUUUCCAUGUUAAUCUGCGGUCGAGAUGCAAGCCGAGAUACUUCACACAGGUACUUUGUGGAAUUGGUGAGCCGUUAAGUGUAACAUUUGGGCAGUUACCUGGUCUUAAUGAAAACGUUAUUUGGACGGAUUUCAGGGAGUUUAUUCUAAUUUUCCAUCGAAGGAACCAGGCUUCAAUUAGGCUUAGCUCACUCUGCAGGAGUUCAGAAGCUUCAUUUAUAGAUGUGCUUGUGGCUAAAACGGCUGUAUCAUCAGCAUAUGUUGCAACAGUGCAGUUGUUUGUAACUGGCAUGUCGGCCGUAUAUAGGGUGUAGAGAAUUGGUCCCAAUACGCUUCCUUGUGGGACGCCUGAGUUGAUGAGAAGUAGUGAUGAACUAUCGGUUUUCUGCUGCACGUAAAAGCAUCUUUUAGCCAGAUAUGAUUUCAUUAAUAAAUAGUACGGAGCAGGUAGCCAUUUCUUUAUCUUGUACAACAAACCUUUGUGCCAG